UGGGGAAUAUUGGACAAUGGGCGAAAGCCUGAUCCAGCCAUGCCGCGUGUGUGAAGAAGGCCUUUUGGUUGUAAAGCACUUUAAGUGGGGAGGAAAAGCUUAUGGUUAAUACCCAUAAGCCCUGACGUUACCCACAGAGUAAGCACCGGCUAACUCUGUGCCAGCAGCCGCGGUAAUACAGAGGGUGCAAGCGUUAAUCGGAAUUACUGGGCGUAAAGCGCGCGUAGGUGGUUAUUUAAGUCAGAUGUGAAAGCCCCGGGCUUAACCUGGGAACUGCAUCUGAUACUGGAUAACUAGAGUAGGUGAGAGGGGAGUAGAAUUCCAGGUGUAGCGGUGAAAUGCGUAGAGAUCUGGAGGAAUACCGAUGGCGAAGGCAGCUCCCUGGCAUCAUACUGACACUGAGGUGCGAAAGCGUGGGUAGCAAACAGGAUUAGAUACCCUGGUAGUCCACGCCGUAAACGAUGUCUACCAGUCGUUGGGUCUUUUAAAGACUUAGUGACGCAGUUAACGCAAUAAGUAGACCGCCUGGGGAGUACGGCCGCAAGGUUA
rnacentral:rRNA from 1 species